UGGCGGCAGGCCUAACACAUGCAAGUCGAACGCCCCGCAAGGGGAGUGGCAGACGGGUGAGUAACGCGUGGGAACCUUCCCAGUGGUACGGAAUAACUGAGGGAAACUUCAGCUAAUACCGUAUACGCCCCUAGGGGGAAAGAUUUAUCGCCAUUGGAUGGGCCCGCGUCGGAUUAGCUAGUUGGUAGGGUAACGGCCUACCAAGGCGACGAUCCGUAGCUGGUCUGAGAGGAUGAUCAGCCACACUGGGACUGAGACACGGCCCAGACUCCUACGGGAGGCAGCAGUGGGGAAUAUUGGACAAUGGGCGCAAGCCUGAUCCAGCCAUGCCGCGUGAGUGACGAAGGCCUUAGGGUUGUAAAGCUCUUUUGGCGGGGACGAUAAUGACGGUACCCGCAGAAUAAGCUCCGGCUAACUUCGUGCCAGCAGCCGCGGUAAUACGAAGGGAGCUAGCGUUGUUCGGAAUCACUGGGCGUAAAGCGCACGUAGGCGGAUAGUUAAGUCGGGGGUGAAAUCCCGGGGCUC
rnacentral:rRNA from 1 species